rnacentral:tRNA from 1 species
GGGCGAAUAGCUCAGCUGGGAGAGCAUCUGCCUUACACGCAGGAGGUCACAGGUUCGAGCCCUGUUUCGCCCA